rnacentral:tRNA from 1 species
AUAUAAAAUUUAAAAACUUUCGCAAGCA